UGAGGAACAUGACCUUCGGCGGGGGAGUAGCCGGCCCAACGGCCGGGUAAUACCGCGUACGACCACUUUGGGACAUCCCUAGGUGGUGAAAGCAGCAAUGCGCCGAUGGAGUGCCUCGCGGCCUAUCAGCUAGUUGGUGAGGUAACGGCUCACCAAGGCGACGACGGGUAGCUGGU
rnacentral:rRNA from 1 species